rnacentral:rRNA from 1 species
GGAGUUAGCCGGUGCUUCUUCUGCGAGUAACGUCACAGAUGUAAGGUAUUAACUUACACCCUUUCCUCCUCGCUGAAAGUGCUUUACAACCCGAAGGCCUUCUUCACACACGCGGCAUGGCUGCAUCAGGGUUUCCCCCAUUGUGCAAUAUUCCCCACUGCUGCCUCCCGUAGGAGUCUGGGCCGUGUCUCAGUCCCAGUGUGGCUGAUCAUCCUCUCAGACCAGCUAGGGAUCGUCGCCUAGGUGAGCCUUUACCUCACCUACUAGCUAAUCCCACCUGGGCUUAUCCAUCAGCGCAAGGCCCGAAGGUCCCCUGCUUUCCCCCGUAGGGCGUAUGCGGUAUUAGCAGUCGUUUCCAACUGUUAUCCCCCACAAAUGGGCAAAUUCCCAGGCAUUACUCACCCGUCCGCCGCUCGUCAUCUUCAAAAGCAAGCUUUUGAAAUGUUACCGCUCGACUUGCAUGUGUUAGGCCUGCCGCCAGCGUUCAAUCUGAGCCAGAACUCGAAACCCUCGUACGACGUAGACGGCGGUCGUCGGACGAACGGGCCGACUAGUAG